rnacentral:rRNA from 1 species
AGAGUUUGAUCCUGGCUCAGAAUCAACGUUGGCGGCGUGCCUAACACAUGCAAGUCGAACGGGAAAACAGGGGCAACUCUGUGAGUACAGUGGCGUACGGGUGAGUAACACGUGACUACCUACCUUUGAGUGGGGGAUAACCCCGGGAAACCGGGGCUAAUACCGCAUAACAUCGCAAGAUCAAAGGAGCAAUCCGCUUAAAGAGGGGGUCGCGGCUGAUUAGCUAGUCGGUGAGGUAACGGCUCACCAAGGCGAUGAUCGGUAGCCGGCCUGAGAGGGCGCACGGCCACACUGGAACUGAAACACGGUCCAGACUCCUACGGGAGGCAGCAGUGGGGAAUUUUGCGCAAUGGGGGAAACCCUGACGCAGCAACGCCGCGUGGAGGAUGAAGUCCCUUGGGACGUAAACUCCUUUCGACCCGGACGAUAAUGACGGUACGGGUGGAAGAAGCACCGGCUAACUUCGUGCCAGCAGCCGCGGUAAUACGAGGGGUGCAAGCGUUGUUCGGAAUUAUUGGGCGUAAAGGGCGCGUAGGCGGU